rnacentral:misc_RNA from 1 species
AAAAUCAACAAAGCCCAGCCCUAGAUUUAGUAAAAUACAGUUCAAUAAACUUGUAAAAUCACAGCUCAAGGUAUAGUUAAGUCUGGUACAAUGGUGCCAAGUUCCUGAAGUAUGGUUUUCCUUGUUUUCUUUCAACUAAAAGCACCCACAUUUAAACCUCUUUUCGCUGCUGUUCAACAUACUUUUGGCCAAGAAUUUGUAUUUCUUUAUAGCAGUUGAUAAAAACUAAAGUUGAUGAUG